UGUAUUUACUGAGAGAAGAGCAAAAGAGAAAAAAAAAAAAAAAGGUUUAAGAUUGUUUUUUUUUGCCUUUCAUUUCUUUUGCACUCAAAAAAUUCUUGGCAAAAGGACUUAAUCAAAAAAGAUAUUCUCUUCAAGUUUUAAGAUUCAAUAAAAAUAUGGCAGUGAAACCAACAGUAGCCUUUAGGGCUUUCCUUGUAGGAGGGAUAGCUAUUUUUGCGAAAGUGGCUGGUGCAAUGAAGGCUGCUGGUGGUGCAAAGCUGGGUGCAGCCGUGGCUGCCAUGGGUGUGGCAGCAUCUGCUGCUAUGACAGGAUCAAAACAGGACCCAAAAGAUGCAUCUAAGCCACCUUCAAAAUGAUCAUCCCCUUUUUCUUUCUUUCAGCAGCUUAUAGCCAUUUGUAAUGUAUGUAACAUAGUUGGCUGCUCCCAUGAGUUUGUUGGGAGUAGAUGGCUAUGUUUGAAUUGUAAUUUUGGUCAUCACAGAGAUUUUAAAAUCACUUGAAAUAAGAGAAACCAACACUGUAGAUUUAAA